AAAGAAGAACAAAUUAGCCCAACCUCGAUGAGUUUUCGUCGUUAAGUUACCUUCCAGCCGAAUUCCCAAGAGAUGGCACGAAAGCUGGACGUCCACUUCUCAAAAGGCUGAAUAGUAGAAGAAACAAGACCAAAUCUUAAGAAAAAAGAAAGUAGCUGAAACACCUGAUUUAAAAAGCUAAACCAUAUUUAGUCAAAAUUGUAUCGCGUGACGCAUGUAAACCAGCGUCAAACGUCAACGUGAAAUUCGAGUACAUUUUUAUUGGAAAUUCGAAAUUUAAAUAUUUAGUAAUAGUAACAUAAAAUUAUUUUUUAAAUCAUUUUGAAAAAUUUAAAAGGCCACAGCAACCGGUUAGUGGUAUUGACAGUAUAAGCAAACUACUAUUUUGAGGUUAGAAUGACUGAAAAUAUACGAAAUACAUAGAAGGAAAAUCUCUCGAUAUCGUUUAAAGAAUAUAAGAAACAAAAUGUGAUUUUUUCCUUGAAUAAUAAAUAACCAGUUGUAGAUUUACCAGCAGGCUGAGUGGGCUGUAGCGUAGAGCAAAUUUUUAUUCCGGUACAUUAUUGCUCACACUGAAAAUAUGAGCUUUGAUGAGCAGAACAUGAUAAUUUUGGAAAAAAGGCGAUGGAAUUGAGCGUAUAGAAAGUACUAGAUAAAUGAAAAAAAUUUUAUUAAACACUUAAUGAAGAUAUUGGAAUGGCUGCUAGUGAUUUCUUCAGAGUUAAUACGUUUUUCGUUGUCUCAUAUCAUAGUAAGCGAAAGAGAUUUAUCUAGAAAUUCUCAUUUCUUAUAGAAUUGAAAUAGAAUCCGAAUUAGUGAAAUUGUUCAUGCCAGAGAAGCUUUUCUGGCUUGAAAAGAACGAAUAACUUAUCUAUCGACUUUAAGUCAAGAAAUACUUAAAGUUUUAGCUCUUUUUUGCAUAGUCAGACCUAAUGAAAAAGUUUUCAAUAUGGCAAUAUGAUUAAUGAUUUUGAUGUUAAACUGUGUAAUGAAAAAUAUGAAUCACCUUACUUCAAAAGGAAAAUAUUCAAGAUUCAAGGUUUCAAAAUCGUAAAAAAUUUUUUUGAUAAAAUUUGAAUAAUUUUGUGAACUAAAGUUUUGAAUUUCGAGGGUCAGUAGAAGCGACAGAAGAUUAAUAGCCUACAAGGGGCCAAUCUUUAAAUUGGUCACUAUAAAUAACACAAAUGUAAUGGAUGAAAAUGUAAAAUAAUGAAAAUAUGAUUACAGCAUAUUCACUAGAAACCUGCAGGUAUUCUAUUGUUUUGAAUGCUACAUUAAAUAAUGUUAAUUGUGAUUGUGACAUUAUUAACAAAUUAGAGCGUGAUUAUGUCUCUCCUGUUUCAAAAUUAGUUUUUUUAUGAAAAUUUGACGUUUCAACUACUUUUCAGUCUUCAUCGAAAUAUUAAGAUAAGAAGGACCCUUUGAUGAAACUCUUGAAGUCAAGUUUCUUAUACCAGAUAGAAAGAUAAAGAAUUUCUUCAUCUAUCCCAUAGUGAAUGUCAUUAUGCAUGAUAAGUUUGGAACAAAUUGUGGAAAAACUGCUUUAACCAUAUAAAUCGUGAUGAAGAGGCUACAAAUUUCCAUUGCAAAUGAAUCGAAAAUCCUAUGAACUUUAAAAUGAAGGCAAUUUCCAAAUUUUCUUGUUUUUUUUUAAAUUAAAAAAUAAAGAAAAGUGAUAUUUUAA